UUGGGUGGAAAACUGUUUUCAUGUUCGAUUCCUAUGGAUUUUGAAGUAACAUACAGCAUGUAAUCAGCUGGAAUUUUCAUUGGAACACUGUCAAGUUAUUCCAACAUUCUUCAACCUUGAACUCCCAAGAUCUGAUUGUUAAUUCUCCCCUCCUGCUGCUAUUCAUUUCCUUGCAAGUUGGUUAGAAGAAUUGUGUUAGAUCAAGACAAGGUAAAGCAGUGUGAAGCUGUUCAGGAAGCCAGGGCUCUGAUAUACAAAG